CCUACGGGAGGCAGCAGUGGGGAAUAUUGGGCAAUGGGCGCAAGCCUGACCCAGCAACGCCGCGUGAAGGAAGAAGGCUUUCGGGUUGUAAACUUCUUUUCUCAGGGACGAAGCAAGUGACGGUACCUGAGGAAUAAGCCACGGCUAACUACGUGCCAGCAGCCGCGGUAAUACGUAGGUGGCAAGCGUUAUCCGGAUUUACUGGGUGUAAAGGGCGUGUAGGCGGGAAAGCAAGUCAGAUGUGAAAACCAUGGGCUCAACCGGUGGCCUGCAUUUGAAACUGUUUUUCUUGAGUACUGGAGAGGCAGACGGAAUUCCUAGUGUAGCGGUGAAAUGCGGAGAUAUUAGGAGGAACACCAGUGGCGAAGGCGGUCUGCUGGACAGCAACUGACGCUGAGGCGCGAAAGCGUGGGGAGCAAACAGGAUUAGAUACCCUGGUAGUC
rnacentral:rRNA from 1 species